UACGUAGGGACCAAGCGUUGUUCGGAUUUACUGGGCGUAAAGGGCGCGUAGGCGGCGUGACAAGUCACUUGUGAAAUCUCCGGGCUUAACUCGGAACGGUCAAGUGAUACUGUUGUGCUAGAGUAUAGAAGGGGCAAUCGGAAUUCUCGGUGUAGCGGUGAAAUGCGUAGAUAUCGAGAGGAACACCAGAGGCGAAGGCGGAUUGCUAGGCUAAUACUGACGCUGAGGCGCGAAAGCUAGGGUAGCAAACGGG
rnacentral:rRNA from 1 species